CCAAACACAACAAUUAAGAAUCAAUAUUAAUGUAAUACAAAAUGUUAAAUACUUAUAACCAACCUGCUAACUAAACUAACUAGCAAUAGUCAAUUAGUCUCUGAGGUGCCUUGCCUCAUUGUUUUAUACACCUACAAGGCACCCCGGAGAUAUCAGCCCCACUGUUCUCAGCUCGGCCUCCCUGUCCAGGAUCUGUCAUCUGGUAGGAUCCCUUCCCCUGCAAAGAGGACCCGUCCCACCUUAAAUAAUGAGGAGUUAAUUAAUAAAGGUGAGGAAGCUGUUGGAGAAAAUCCCUAACCCUUCUACCACCAGGAUGGAUAGAUGCCUGCAGGCCUCACAGGAAGGAAGAGUUUUAUGGAGGGAUUUGAAGGAGGACAAUGAAGUAGCUUUGCGGAUGUUUGCAGCUCUGAGUGCUCAACAUUUCUGCAGAACAGACCCCA